rnacentral:snRNA from 1 species
GGGCUCACUUCGGCAGCACAUAUACUAAAAUUGGAAUGAUACAGAGAUUAGCAUUGCCCCUGCACAAGGAUGACAUGCAAAUAUUUUUUCCCAUUCUGU